ensembl:lncRNA EPIC1 epigenetically induced MYC interacting lncRNA 1
GAUUGGACGAGGCCCACCCACCUUGGGGAGGGGCCAGCUGCUGUGUUCAGUCCGCCAUUGCAAACACGAAGCUCUUCCAGAAACGCCCUCACAGACACCCCGGAAGUCACGUACCCACUCUGUAGGUGCCCCGGGGCACAGGCAAGCGGACGAGCCAGUUAUCCCUCAGAGCUCCUGCUGCCUCGCCCGCUUUCUCUCGGAAACGUGAAGUGUGGCCUCAGCUGAAAGUGAGGCAGCUGAGGCGGAGGAACCCUAAGGGCUCAUUGAGAUCAUGGAUUUGCCCUUCUAUGCAUUGAUGGAGCACCUGCUGCCCACAGCGUCUGUAUUUGGUGCUGGGAUGCUGAGCCUCCUUCUUUAUGAAUUUUUAAAAGGACACUGAGAUCUUCAAACAGAGGCUGCCACUCUAAGCAAACAGAUCCCGAGCCCUGGACUCUGAAGCUUGGGCCCAGUUCUCCUUUUCUCCGGGUUUCAGAUCCCACUGUGAAGUGAGGGGGCCCUUCUGAUUCAGGACCCGGGGAAGCCAGGGGCAUGAGCAUCGGUGCCUCUUCUCUAUUUCAAGGACCCUUCUGGGUGUAAAGUUCUCUGAGAUGCCUUACAUGGAUUCCCACCACUGCAAGAUAACCAUCGUAUGUAAAGUGUUAUGACCAGCAGAGCGUAAUUGAAGUGCAUUCCAGAGGGAAAGACAGCGGCUCAGUAAAUCAAAGGUUUCGCCAUCAUGUAAACCCUUGGGCGACAGAGUCUACCUGUCUCCCCCUGAUAUUGUUCUAUGAGAUUUCGAUGCUAUCUUCAUUGCCAGCAGCCCUGACAAAGAUGCACUGCAGACGGAUAGCCUCUCAGGGAACACUCCCUUUGUUAGGAAAAUCUGACAGCUGGAAGCCGUGAGUUCUUGGCCCCUUGCCCUGAAGCAAGAGUGACCAGGCCUCUCUCCUGAGGGAAGGCCUUCCCAGGUGGGGACAUAGGCCCUAAAGUGAGAACUGAAGCAUUGUCCACUCCCUCUUUGAUGCCACAUGCAUGGACGGUUCAGUGAAUGUCGUGGGAACUCAGCUGUGCCCACCCCUGCUUUGUUACCCCGGCACUUUGGGAAACAGCAGAGUCCAGCAGAAACCACUGAAGUUUUGGGCUCGGAGGGAUUCCAGUUCAAGCCCCGGCUUCACCACCUACAAGGUUCAAUUUUGGUCUAGGAAUGGAACUUCUCUGAGUCUUAGUUGCUGUCAUCAAUAUUAUUUUACUGUCAUCAUUAUUUAUAGUAAAAUAAUAACCUCUCAGACUCGAUAA